CCUACGGGGGGCAGCAGUGGGGAAUAUUGCACAAUGGGGGAAACCCUGAUGCAGCGACGCCGCGUGAGUGAAGAAGUAUUUCGGUACGUAAAGCUCUAUCAGCAGGGAAGAAAAUGACGGUACCUGACUAAGAAGCCCCGGCUAACUACGUGCCAGCAGCCGCGGUAAUACGUAGGGGGCAAGCGUUAUCCGGAUUUACUGGGUGUAAAGGGAGCGUAGACGGCAGCGCAAGUCUGGAGUGAAAUCCCAUGGCUUAACCAUGGAACUGCUUUGGAAACUGUGCAGCUAGAGUGCAGGAGGGGUAAGCGGAAUUCCUGGUGUAGCGGUGAAAUGCGUAGAUAUUAGGAGGAACACCAGUGGCGAAGGCGGCUUACUGGACUGUAACUGACGUUGAGGCUCGAAAGCGUGGGGAGCAAACAGGAUUAGAUACCCGAGUAGUC
rnacentral:rRNA from 1 species